rnacentral:rRNA from 1 species
UACGUAGUGUGCAAGCGUUGUCCGGAAUUAUUGGGCGUAAAGAGCUCGUAGGCGGUCUGUCGCGUCUGGUGUGAAAAUCCAGGGCUUAACCCUGGACCUGCAUCGGGUACGGGCAGACUAGAGUGCGGUAGGGGAGAUCGGAAUUCCUGGUGUAGCGGUGAAAUGCGCAGAUAUCAGGAGGAACACCGGUGGCGAAGGCGGGUCUCUGGGCCGAUACUGACGCUGAGGAGCGAAAGAGUGGGGAGCGAACAGG